AACGAACGCUGGCGGCGCGCCUAAUACAUGCAAGUCGAGCGAGAAGACGUAGCAAUACGUUUGUAAAGCGGCGAACGGGUGAGGAAUACAUGGGUAACCUACCCUCGAGUGGGGAAUAACUAGCCGAAAGGUUAGCUAAUACCGCGUACGCUCCUUGGACUUCGGUUCAGGGAGGAAAGCGAUACCGUGGGUAUCGCGCUCUUGGAUGGGCUCAUGUCCUAUCAGCUUGUUGGUGAGGUAACGGCUCACCAAGGCUUCGACGGGUAGCUGGUCUGAGAGGACGAUCAGCCACACUGGCACUGCGACACGGGCCAGACUCCUACGGGAGGCAGCAGUAAGGAAUAUUGCGCAAUGGGCGAAAGCCUGACGCAGCGACGCCGCGU
rnacentral:rRNA from 1 species